rnacentral:lncRNA from 1 species
GUUGGGUUUACGUUAAUGGAAUGUUAAAAUGAAAAGAGUUUUAUAUUUAAUAAAGAAAAUAGAAGAGAAAAUAAAUAUUUCUGCUGCGAGUCCGCAUAUCUUGCUGAUCUUCGAAACUGACAUUCGGCUUGGAAGCUUCCAUAAAUUCCAACAUAUAGGUGAACAUAUAGGUGAAGUGACGUAAUAUGGCGUCGCAUGUCAGAAGCAAGUUGACUUUAAGAAUUACCAUCUGUAUGGUGUGGAUUUUAUUACGACCAAGUGCAACAUGCUAGGGCUACGCAAGACUGUCUGGUUUGCACAGGCAGUACACUGCAGACUAGAAAACUGAACCAUUAACUGCAAAUGAGUCUGUGCAUCUUAAGAAGAAAAAGUUAUCUUUCUAUUUUCUGUGCAUCAUAAGAAGAAAAAGUUGACUUACAAAUGCUGAAUUACAUAAGCUGACCAGCUGGAAAUGUUUUAUCUGCUCAACCUACGGUAAAAACUAAAUCCUCACAGUCACACCACCUACUCCAUACACUUGACUGUGUGACACCAAUACUUUAAACCAGUUGAAUUGAAUAGUAGUUGAAUGAACAGAACGACUUAUCAAUACUUGAACGGAAUAAAAAAAAAAAAAAAAAAACGGCAAUUGCACUAAACCCAUAUUGACACGUCCAGGUUUGUGAACUUCACUACCUUUCGCCAUUUCAGCUUUUACUAUGUAUUGAUAGAUGCAGAACACUGUUUACAGAAUAAAGAGCCAAACCCAGAA